rnacentral:rRNA from 1 species
UAUUUUCCCGUAGCAAUAUGGGAAAGUAGGAGCGGCGCAAGGGUGCGUAACACGUGGAUCAUCUGCCUGGAAGUUCGGAAUAAUCCCGAGAAAUCGGGACUAAUGCCGGAUGUGGUUGAGAGACUAAAGUUGGGGCUCCGCAAGGACCUGACGCUUCCAGAUGAGUCCGCGGCCUAUCAGCUAGUUGGCGGGGUAAAGGCCCACCAAGGCUAAGACGGGUAGCUGGUCUGAGAGGACGACCAGCCACACUGGAACUGAGACACGGUCCAGACACCUACGGGUGGCAGCAGUCGAGAAUUUUUCUCAAUGGGCGAAAGCCUGAAGGAGCGACGCCGCGUGGGGGAUGAAGGGCUUCGGUCCGUAAACCCCUGUCAUUUGCGAACAAACCUUACCAAUGAACAAUUGGUGAGCUGAUUGUAGCGAAAGAGGAAGGGACGGCUAACUCUGUGCCAGCAGCCGCGGUAAUACAGAGGUCCCAAGCGUUGUUCGGAUUCACUGGGCGUAAAGGGUGCGCAGGUGGGUUGGCAAGUUUGAUGUGAAAGCCCCGGGCUUAACCCGGGAAUGGCAUUGAAUACUGCUGAUCUGGAGGAUCGGAGGGGGGACUGGAAUUCUUGGUGUAGCAGUGAAAUGCGUAGAUAUCAAGAGGAACACCAGUGGCGAAGGCGAGUCCCUGGACGAUACCUGACACUGAGGCACGAAAGCCAAGGGAGCAGACAGGAUUAGAUACCCUGGUAGUCUUGGCUGUAAACGGUGCGCAUUUGCUGUAAACGGAAUCG